AGCCAAACAAAUAUUAAAGGCAACGCCUGCCCAGUGAACAAUUUAACGGCCGCGGUAUCCUAACCGUGCAAAGGUAGCAUAAUCAUUUGUCUACUAAUUAUAGACCAGCAUGAAAGGCAAAAUGAGGGUUUAACUGUCUCUUAUAAUAAAUCAAUUAAACUGAUCUCCCAGUAAAAAAGCUGGAAUUACCACAUAAGACCAGAAGACCCUGUGAAGCUUAAACCACACUAUUAAACCACAUAAUAGCUACUUUCGGUUGGGGCGACCUUGGAAAAAAAAAGAACUUCCAAACUACGAUAUAUCAUAUCACCCACUCAGGCCUACAAGCCACCUAACGACCCAGCACAGCUGAUUAUUGAACCAAGUUACUCCAGGGAUAACAGCGCAAUCCUCUUCAAGAGCCCAUAUCAAAAAGAGGGUUUACGACCUCGAUGUUGGAUCAGGACAUCCUGAUGGUGCAGCCGCUAUCAAGGGUUCGUUUGUUCAACGAUUAA
rnacentral:rRNA from 1 species